rnacentral:rRNA from 2 species
GGGUUGUGAGGUUAAGCGACUAAGCGUACACGGUGGAUGCCCUGGCAGUCAGAGGCGAUGAAGGACGUGCUAAUCUGCGAAAAGCGUCGGUAAGGUGAUAUGAACCGUUACAGCCGGCGAUGUCCGAAUGGGGAAACCCAGUGCAAUUCGUUGCACUAUCGUUAACUGAAUACAUAGGUUAACGAGGCGAACCGGGGGAACUGAAACAUCUAAGUACCCCGAGGAAAAGAAAUCAACCGAGAUUCCCCCAGUAGCGGCGAGCGAACGGGGAGCAGCCCAGAGUCUGAAUCAGCUUGUGUGUUAGUGGAACGGUCUGGAAAGUCCGACGGUACAGGGUGAUAGUCCCGUACACCAAAAUGCACAGGUUGUGAACUCGAAGAGUAGGGCGGGACACGUGGUAUCCUGUCUGAAUAUGGGGGGACCAUCCUCCAAGGCUAAAUACUCCUGACUGACCGAUAGUGAACCAGUACCGUGAGGGAAAGGCGAAAAGAACCCCGGCGAGGGGAGUGAAAAAGAACCUGAAACCGUGUACGUACAAGCAGUGGGAGCACCUU